rnacentral:misc_RNA from 1 species
GAUGAAGAACGUAGCGAAAUGCGAUAACUAAUGUGAAUUGCAGAAUUCAGUGAAUCAUCGAGUCUUUGAACGCACAUUGCGCCCCCUGGUAUUCCGGGGGGCAUGCCAGUCCGAGCGUCAUUGCUGCCCUCAAGCACGGCUUGUGUGUUGGGCUCCGUCCCCCCGGGGACGGGCCCGAAAGGCAGCGGCGGCACCGAGUCCGGUCCUCGAGCGUAUGGGGCUUUGUCACCCGCUCUGUAGGCCCGGCCGGCGCCAGCCGACAACCCAUCAUCCUUUUCAGGCUGACCUCGGAUCAGGUAGGGAUACCCGCUGAACUUAAGCAUAUCAAUAAGCGGAGGA